rnacentral:tRNA from 1 species
GUAAUAGUAGCUUAAGUUAGAGCAUUGGUCUUGUAAGUCAAAGGUAAAUUAUAUUUCUAUUACU